UCUAAUCCACCAACUUAGUGUUGAUGAAGACUAAACAGAGAGAUCACAGCCUUCUUUAUACUUGCUGGAGCUCACAGUUCCUCAACACUGCAGAUAUGACGCCUCUGUUCAUCUCAGUGUUGCUGGCUGCUGUGUGCCUUGAAUGCAGAGCACAAAAAGACAACGUGCUGCAACCAGAAGGAGACGUGACUGCUGCUGAAGGAGAGCCAGUAACACUUGGCUGUCUAUAUAACAGCAGUUCAACAAAUCAUAAUCUCUUCUGGUACAAACAGGAUGGAAACAACAGCCCUGAAUUCAUACUGAGCCGCUUUAAGAUCGGUGAGGGGAAAACAGCAGACGAGUACAAGGAGAGAUUUUCAUCAACACUGGAUUCCACCUCUAGAUCAGUUCCUCUGAAGAUCCAGAAGCUUCAGCUGACUGACUCUGCUGUGUACUACUGUGCUCUG